UCCCCCUUAAAGAUUUUCAAAGUUUGUGGUGGCAUAAACACAACUUUCAAGUGGAUGUUGUUGGGAUUUCACAUGACAGGCCAGUAGAAACAUAACCAGGAAGUGGAAGAAAAAUGUCCCCGGUGCUUUUACUGUAACGGCAGAUGCAAAUAUCUCUACCAGCUUUAUCACUUCUUAUUGAAAUAAAUAAAUGUCCACAUUCACAAAGCUAUUGCAGAACUGAGGAGCUCCUUUAGUGACAGACUGCUGCAUCCAAGGCGCCCAGAGGAGAACAAUCGUCCCCACUGAGAAGUAGAUUUUAUCACCAUUGUUGCUUCCAACAAACUCAAUAAGUUUUAACACAUUUUUUUUCAUUUCUUAUACAUAGUUGUUGUUGAUUUUAUGCAGAAAUAUGCAAUAUUUUGUCAUUUAUUUUAGCUAAUCUUACUAAGUGGUGUAACUGAGAGAAAAGUGUGUAUGUAUGUAUAUGUGACUUUUACCCCAAAUAAUAAUAAUAAUAAUAGUAUGUAUUUAUGAUGAGAUUUUUAAUUGAUGCAUUUGUUUAGAGCCACCUAGUGGUGUGAUGAGUAACUGCAUGCAACGGGUCCUUUGGGCGCUCUCACGGCUUCCCCCACCAGGAUUCUGAGGAAUGCUGGUGGAGCUGUGGGGCCACUUGCGUGCGACACAAAGUCACAUUAUGAAGAGUAUUUCAUUCUGUAUCAUACUAGGUGACAAACAACCAAGCAAGGAAGGCCAUACUGGUGCCGUGACGAACGAGAAGGGUUACAGUGGCACAUUCCUUUGAAGAAUGUGAACUAAAUUUCUUUUAACUCUUUGAAGAAUCUGAAUUAAUGACCUACAGCAACAUUUAACAUUUAAUUUGGCUUUGGGUUUAAUGAAGUAUUUUUGAAUUUGAAACAAACUAUGCUAUUUUUAAUGACUGCACGGUGCUGUUUUUCUUAUGUUGUAAAUUUGCCAUUACUGUGCAGUUUCUUACUUUCAUUUUUCAGUUUUUACAUGUUCUAUUUUUUUUUUUUUUACUUUUAUGUGAAUUUGCAUGCCCGUAUCCAUCAUUCUCUUGCUACUGAUGCAUCUGCAUUUCCUCACUGUGGGACAACAUGGGAUCAUGUUGAAAACAUGUUUAAGUUUCCUUCCACCCUGUAUUUGUCUAAAAUAAAAACAAAAAAGAAAACGA